GUCUAUGAGAUUAAAGCUUCGGGCACUUUGAGAUGGGCGUGCGGCUGAUUAGGUAGUUGGUAGGGUAACGGCCUACCAAGCCGACGAUCAGUAGCUGAUGUGAGAGCAUGAUCAGCCACACGGGCACUGAGACACGGGCCCGACUCCUACGGGAGGCAGCAGUGAGGAAUAUUGGUCAAUGGAGGAAACUCUGAACCAGCCCAAUGCCGCGUGGAGGAUGAAGGUCCUCUGGAUUGUAAACUCCUUUUAAUAAAAGAAGAAACCCCAUUUUUCUAAAUGGGUUGACGGUACUUUAUGAAUAAGCACCGGCUAACUCCGUG
rnacentral:rRNA from 1 species